rnacentral:lncRNA from 1 species
AUGUACUUGUAGCCAGUAGAAAUUUAAUUUCUAUCUCUGUGCUGGUACAAGAUAACUAUAAUUUUUAUUUCAAUAAAGAUAUGUGUUCAAUUUAUUUCAAACAUAAAAUUAUUGCAUGUACUUUUUUGAUUGAUGAUCUUUACCAUUUGCAUAUAGAUGCGAGUGUAAAUAUUAAUGAGCAAAUAGUGAAUGCCAUAGGGUCUAAGAGAUCUAAAGAUAGAAUUAGCCAAAAGUAUCUAUGGCACCUUAGACUAGGC